rnacentral:rRNA from 1 species
AUUGAACGCUGGCGGCAUGCCUUACACAUGCAAGUCGAACGGCAGCACGGGUGCUUGCCCCUGGUGGCGAGUGGCGAACGGGUGAGUAAUACAUCGGAACAUGUCCUGUAGUUGGGGAUAGCCCGGCGAAAGCCGGAUUAAUACCGCAUACGAUCUACGGAUGAAAGCGGGGGACCUUCGGGCCUCGCGCUAUAGGGUUGGCCGAUGGCUGAUUAGCUAGUUGGUGGGGUAAAGGCCUACCAAGGCGACGAUCAGUAGCUGGUCUGAGAGGACGACCAGCCACACUGGGACUGAGACACGGCCCAGACUCCUACGGGAGGCAGCAGUGGGGAAUUUUGGACAAUGGGCGAAAGCCUGAUCCAGCAAUGCCGCGUGUGUGAAGAAGGCCUUCGGGUUGUAAAGCACUUUUGUCCGGAAAGAAAUCCUUGGCCCUAAUACGGUCGGGGGAUGACGGUACCGGAAGAAUAAGCACCGGCUAACUACGUG